rnacentral:rRNA from 1 species
GAACUGGGCGGCGUGCUAAUACAUGCAAGUCGAGCGAAUGGAUUAAGAGCUUGCUCUUAUGAAGUUAGCGGCGGACGGGUGAGUAACACGUGGGUAACCUGCCCAUAAGACUGGGAUAACUCCGGGAAACCGGGGCUAAUACCGGAUAACAUUUUGAACCGCAUGGUUCGAAAUUGAAAGGCGGCUUCGGCUGUCACUUAUGGAUGGACCCGCGUCGCAUUAGCUAGUUGGUGAGGUAACGGCUCACCAAGGCAACGAUGCGUAGCCGACCUGAGAGGGUGAUCGGCCACACUGGGACUGAGACACGGCCCAGACUCCUACGGGAGGCAGCAGUAGGGAAUCUUCCGCAAUGGACGAAAGUCUGACGGAGCAACGCCGCGUGAGUGAUGAAGGCUUUCGGGUCGUAAAACUCUGUUGUUAGGGAAGAACAAGUGCUAGUUGAAUAAGCUGGCACCUUGACGGUACCUAACCAGAAAGCCACGGCUAACUACGUGCCAGCAGCCGCGGUAAUACGUAGGUGGCAAGCGUUAUCCGGAAUUAUUGGGCGUAAAGCGCGCGCAGGUGGUUUCUUAAGUCUGAUGUGAAAGCCCACGGCUCAACCGUGGAGGGUCAUUGGAAACUGGGAGACUUGAGUGCAGAAGAGGAAAGUGGAAUUCCAUGUGUAGCGGUGAAAUGCUUAGAGAUAUGGAGGAACACCAGUGGCGAAGGCGACUUUCUGGUCUGUAACUGACACUGAGGCGCGAAAAGCGUGGGAGCAAAAC